GGGGUAUUGUGAUGUCAUUAUGGGGUAUUGUGAUGUCGUUAUGGGUAUUGUGAUGUCAUUAUGGGGUAUUGUGAUGUCACCAUGGGGUAUUGUGAUGUCAUUAUGGGGUAUUGUGAUGUCGUUAUGGGGUAUUGUGUGUAGAUUGCUGAGGAAUUGUUUUUAUUUAAUCCAUUUUAGAAUAAGGCUGUAACGUAACAAAAUGUGGAAAAAGUCAAGGGGUCUGAAAACUUUCCGAAGGCACUGUAUGCAGACUGCAAACAUUCUUUAAAUUUCAAUCGAGCUAUACAGGGGAUCUUCAGUACUAUGAACAGAACAUAGCCCUAACAUUGCCUAAAUAGCAAGUAUCACACUUGAUUUUUCUGAAGAUAAAAUUUGUAUACAGAUUUUUAUUAAGAUGAAUAACUUUCUACAGCUCUUUUCUUUUUGUUCCCAUUGGUUCUGCUCAGGCUGAUGUGUAUCCAGAUAGACAUUGGUUCUGCUCAGGCUGAUGUGUAUGCAGAUAGACAUUGGUUCUGUUCAGGCUGAUGUGUAUCCAGAUAGACAUUGGUUCUGCUCAGGCUGAUGUGUAUCCAGAUAGACAUUGGUUCUGUUCAGGCUGAUGUGUAUCCAGAUAGACAUUGGUUCUGUUCAGGCUGAUGUGUAUCCAGAUAGACAUUGGUUCUGCUCAGGCUGAUGUGUAUCCAGAUAGACAUUGGUUCUGUUCAGGCUGAUGUGUAUGCAGAUAGACAUUGGUUCUGUUCAGGCUGAUGUGUAUGCAGAUAGACAUUGGUUCUGUUCAGGCUGAUGUGUAUGCAGAUAGACAUUGGUUCUGCUCAGGCUGAUGUGUAUCCAGAUAGACAUUGGUUCUGCUCAGGCUGAUGUGUAUCCAGAUAGACAUUGGUCCUGUUCAGGCUGAUUGCUGAUGUGUAUCCAGAUAGACAUUGGUCCUGUUCAGGCUGAUUGUUGAUGUGUAUCCAGAUAGACAUUGGUCCUGUUCAGGCUGAUUGCUGAUGUGUAUCCAGAUAGACAUUGGUCCUGUUCAGGCUGAUUGCUGAUGUGUGUCCAGAUAGACAUUGGUCCUGUUCAGGCUGAUUGCUGAUGUGUAUCCAGACAGAUAUUAUGGUUGACAUUAUUUACAUGUCAGUUUAUAUCAAUGAUGAUUCCCAUCAAGAGGUACGAUCACUUGAUUUGAUCAAGUGUCUCUACAAGGGCUGGUUUGUAUGAAGAAAUGUAAUGUAUAUGAAAUAUGUUUUAAGUGAAGAAAGUGAUUUGCAAGGAAUGAAUUAUGAUCUACAUCCUAAAUGGCACCAUAUUCCCUACGUAGUGCACUACUUUUGAAGAGGACCCAUAGGGGUCUGGUCAAAAGUAGUGCACUAUAUAGGGAAUAGGUAUUAGUACACAGCCAUGAUGAAAUCUAAACUGUUGUUUAACUCAUAUGAUGUACGGAGGAAGAAACUGAAAGUUGAGUCUGAGUGACACAACAAUGUCCAUUUUUAUUUUUCUUAUAAACACCUAGAACUGAUGAAACAGACCAGCUCACAAGACGUUGUGUUUUUUCUUCAACAUAAAUAUGCAGACUUCCUUUGAAAAUGGAAUCACAACGCAAACAAAUAAGCGUGUGAAAUGUCACCCUAUUCCCUACGUAGUGCACUACUUUUGACCAGGGCUCUGGUGCACUAGGGAUCAGGAUGGCAUUUCAGACGGGUUCAGAGUCAUUUUCUAAAUCCAUUUUUCAGACUCUAGUGACUUGACUGCAAACUGUCUU
rnacentral:lncRNA from 1 species